AGAGUUUGAUCCUGGCUCAGGAUAAACGCUGGCGGCGUGCCUAACACAUGCAAGUCGAACGCUCUUAGCAAUAAGAGAGUGGCGGACGGGUGAGGAACACGUGGGGAUCUACCCUGAGGUGAGGAAUACCGGCGAGAAAUCGCCGACAAUACCGCAUAGGCUCGGGAACGAGCAAAGUCGCAAGACGCCUUGGGAUGAAC
rnacentral:rRNA from 1 species